AAGGCCCCCUGCCCACCACGGGGGCGCCUGCCGAGGAAGGGCAGGUGGGAGCCGUCAGCCAGCUGGGCAGGAAAGCUGAGUGCGUGGUGACAUGAGGAGGGUCUCACCACACAGAACCCAGACCUGAAGGACCUCCAUGGAUGGCUCACACAUGACCAGGGUGUGAGGACGACCGGGCAGUGAGUUGGAGACAGUUUCUCCGGGCCUCACUGCUGAAUCUCUUGGUGGGAGCCAGAAGGCCAUGCCCACAAAGGUCAAGUAAAAACAAGUCCCCAAAAUUUAAAAGAAGGGGAAAAAGGAAAAGAAACCCCGAACAGAUAGGCUGCAAAAAAACCCGAAAAUGCAAAGCUGAUUCCGGGAACCCAAGAGGAAAGCGAA